UGACAUCUGGCUCAAAUCUGCACAGCUGGAUAGCUCCAAAAUGCUUCAAUUUGUGGUACAUCAAGAAUUAUGCUGUACUUGGAUUUCAUUCAUGUCUUUCUUUUGUUUGGCUCUUUGCCACAGACUUUUGGGGGUGUCAGAUGAUUGGUUUGACUUCAUGUUGAAUCCCCUCCAGCAUUGACCGCCUGCAUUCACCCAUACUUGGGAGCACCAGACGAUAGCACUGGAGUGUGCCCAUUUGUGGUGGCAUUGUCAUGGUGCCUGGCAGUCCACCUCCCCCUCCCACAGCUCUCCUUCACCGCUGAUUGGAACCAGCUGAUCUUCAUCUCCUCAUCACCCUGCCGGCCUUCAUAAGGGAGCUUCUCACCAGUAUCCAGCGCCAGUCCGUUAUACUCACUCCGGUUUUCAUCCAUUGGUCACGCUGGUUCCACGCUGAUCCCGCCGUCCUCGGCGUCCACGCCUCACCUCAAGCUGGUCCCGCUGUCCUCAGCGUCCAAACCUCGCUCCCUCUGGCUCCACGGUCCGACGCGUCCACGCGUCGCCCCCUCACCCUCAUCAGCUCAAAGAACAUCAGGAUCAUUCCAUGGAGGAAAUAACUUCCACGUUCCCUCAGAAACUGUAUUUACCGUUGGUAAAAUAAACCUUUUCAAAUUCA